UGAAAAAAUUUUUUACGUGCUAAAUAAAAGCCAAUUAUAUGGUAUUAAGCAUCUUGAUGGAUUGCAAUAAAUUUGAAUACGCACCGUUUUAUCUGAUGUAAAAGCUGUUCUAAUUUAUUCUUUAAUGAAUUAUAUAUUUGUAUAUGGACAGAUAGUAAGACUCGCUCCAUGGAUUGCAAGGCACGUGAGUUCCGUGGAUGUUGAUAGUGCAAAAUAAUUAGAAGUUUUACAUCGGGUAAAAAUUUACUUGCAACCUUAUUAUCGUGCACUUAUUUGGCAGAUUGGACUUUACUAUUGAUUUGACAGACCCUUCUCUAACGUGUUAUAGCCGGAAAGUUCGGCUUAGGAACACUUGCCGGUAAGUAUACUAUUCAACAUAGCAAAGCCCUAAAGAAAAUCUCACUAAAACCAAGUAAAAUAAAACAAGUUAAAAAAAAAAUAGCUAAAGACAUCGUGACAAAUUGAAUAAUAUGUUUCAUGAAAUUUUUGUGUCAAAUGAUAUUGAUCAAAAUGUGAUACCGACUAAGUCAAUCUUCAUUUAUGUGUAUAUGUGUGUGUAAUUUUUUUAAUUUUUUUUCCUACUGACCCAAUGCGCUCUUUUUCCUAUUUGAUGGCCGAAAAUUUAAUUUCACAAAUUUUGCUUCCAUUUUCUUGUGACUUUACCAUCAGAACUAGUGAGUAACGAAAUAUGCUAAGUUUUGGAUAGGAGGAAAUUUUACUAGUACGAAAAAAUCUCGACUUUCCUCCAUUAGCUGAACAAAGAAAUAUGCUUUUCCCAAUCCGUAUGCGGUUGAUGUAACGGAAUGUGUAAGGGAAAUGACUAUCUUUUAAUUUAAAUCUAUUUUACGUUUAUCACACUGACUACUCGGCUAUGAAGGGGAGAGAAUGUAAUAGCGAUAAAAUUUUCAAAUGUAUUUCAAUUACUUAGAAAAGAUAUUCAGUAUCCUUUUUCUUUUUUGAAAGCAUACAAAUCAUAAAUAAAAACUCAUAUUGUUCAUAUACUGUUUGUCACAUAACCCUUCGUAUUACUAAUACAAACAACGAUAAUUCAAGCCUUAGUAAUUAACCUAGCGUUGCCAAAUAUCAACAAUACAAAGUUCCGAAUUGCCCUUGUAAAUACGGAUCUGCAAACUGGGAAUUUGAGAGAAACAGCAAAGAGCAUAUACAAGUUUGCCAUUGGGAAUACAGGUGAGCUCCGACUCGUUCUUUAAAGAAAGCUAUUCAGAAAGUGAUUUUGAAAUCCGAAAUAUCUUCUCAUACGUCUCUGUAUAGGUCUUCCUCAGUCACAUUUGGAUAUCAAAUCAUUCAUCGCAUCUCAUCAUCAUUAUUCCUAUAGAUCCCAUUUUUACUUAUACCACACUUUGUCCUUUCUUUAUCCUUAAUACAUUCAUCCGUGGCUGCGCAAAACCAGUCACUGCCGCU